UCGAUCCCACAACACCACCCCAGUGGCCAGCACGUGUCCGGUUUGUGAGGGUUGUGCUCUUCCAGCGUGCAGCGUUGUGUACGUAACGUGACUUUCCUCUUCAUUCAGCGACCUCUUUGUAGCAAGAGGGAUGGACUUCCGCAAGCUGCUACAUCCUGAUUAUUUUGGGUUCAUCUGUAUGUAGACACAUCUUGAGGAUCCAAUGCAGUGUUAUUCACAUGAAAUCAUGACCUUGAUGGCUCCUCCAGAACCAGUGGCAGCAGUCUCGAAUGCCUUGAUGGACUCCUCCAGCUUGAAGCGGUGUGUGAUAAGAGGUUUCACAUUAAUCUUCCCUGAUGCAAUCAUGUCCAAAGCAAGUGGAUAGCUGGAAAAGAAAAGGGAACCAAUGUUUGAGAUGAAGUCAGUAAGGUGGAGACAUGUGAUCCAUUGUAAUGGAAGAUGGAAUUUAUUAAAAUGAUAUCUUGUGGGAAAAGAAAUAUGUUGUCUGGUGGCUGUCAGCAAAGCUGUCACCCAUGUGAUGAUCACAUCUCUUUAAAUUGUUUAAAGCAAGUAAAUAAUAAUGAGUAUUUCAUUAUUCUGA